rnacentral:rRNA from 1 species
UACGGGAGGCAGCAGUGGGGAAUAUUGCACAAUGGGCGCAAGCCUGAUGCAGCCAUGCCGCGUGUAUGAAGAAGGCCUUCGGGUUGUAAAGUACUUUCAGUCGUGAGGAAGGUGUUAAGGUUAAUAACCUUAGCAAUUGACGUUAGCGACAGAAGAAGCACCGGCUAACUCCGUGCCAGCAGCCGCGGUAAUACGGAGGGUGCGAGCGUUAAUCGGAAUUACUGGGCGUAAAGGGCACGCAGGCGGUUAAUUAAGUUGGAUGUGAAUCCCCGGGCUUAACCUGGGAAUGGCAUUCAAGACUGGUUAGCUAGAGUCUUGUAGAGGGGGUUAGAAUUCCAUGUGUAGCGGUGAAAUGCGUAGAGAUGUGGAGGAAUACCGGGUGGCGAAGGCGGCCCCUGGGACAAAGACUGACGCUCAUGUGCGAAAGCGUGGGGAGCGAAACAGGGAUUAGAUACC